rnacentral:rRNA from 1 species
GAGUUUGUAUCCUGGCUCAGGAUGAACGCUAAGCUACAGGCUUAACACAUGCAAGUCGAGGGGAAACGACAUCGAAAGCUUGCUUUUGAUUGGGCGUCGACCGGCGCACGGGUGAGUAACGCGUAUCCAACCUGCCCAUCACUUGGGGAUAACCUUGCGAAAGUAAGACUAAUACCCAAUGAUAUCUCUAGAAGGCAUCUGAAAAGAGAUUAAAGAUUUAUCGGUGAUGGAUGGGGAUGCGUCUGAUUAGCUUGUUGGCGGGGUAACGGCCACCAAGCAACGAUCAGUAGGGGUUCUGAGAGGAAGGUCCCCCANAUUGGAACUGAGACACGGUCCAAACUCCUACGGGAGGCA